GACGUAGGGCGCGAGCGUUGUCCGGAUUUAUUGGGCGUAAAGGGUGCGUAGGCGGCGCGGUUAAGUCGGGUGUGAAAUCUUGGAGCUUCGAACUCCGAAACUGCAUUCGAUACUGCCGUGCUUGAGGACUGGAGGAGAGACUGGAAUUUACGGUGUAGCGGUGAAAUGCGUAGAUAUCGUGAAGGAAGACCAGUGGCGAAGGCGGGUCCUCUGGACAGUUCCUGACGCUGAGGCACGAAGGCCAGGGGAGCAAACGGG
rnacentral:rRNA from 1 species